AACGAACGCUGGCGGCAGGCUUAAUACAUGCAAGUCGAACGGGCGCAGCAAUGCGUCAGUGGCAGACGGGUGAGUAACACGUGGGAACCUUCCUCGUUGUACGGAACAACUCAGGGGAAACUUGAGCUAAUACCGUAUAAGUCCGAGAGGAGAAAGAUUUAUCGCAAUGAGACGGGCCCGCGUCGGAUUAGGUAGUUGGUGAGGUAACGGCUCACCAAGCCGACGAUCCGUAGCUGAUCUGAGAGGAU
rnacentral:rRNA from 1 species